rnacentral:rRNA from 1 species
AGAGUUUGAUCAUGGCUCAGAAUCAACGCUGGCGGCGCGCCUAACACAUGCAAGUCGAACGAGAAAGCAGGAGCAAUCUUGUGAGUAAAGUGGCGUACGGGUGAGUAACACGUGGAUCAUCUACCCUCUUGUGGGGGAUAACUCUGGGAAACCGGAGCUAAUACCGCAUAAGUCCGAGAGGAGAAAGCAGCAAUGCGCAGGAGGAGGAGUCCGCGGCCGAUUAGCUAGUUGGUAGGGUAAAAGCCUACCAAGGCUACGAUCGGUAGCCGGCCUGAGAGGGCACACGGCCACACUGGCACUGAAACACGGGCCAGACUCCUACGGGAGGCAGCAGUGGGGAAUCUUGCACAAUGGGGGCAACCCUGAUGCAGCGACGCCGCGUGAGCGAUGAAGCCCUUCGGGGUGUAAAGCUCUUUCGGCAGGGAAGAUUAUGACGGUACCUGCAGAAGCAGCUGCGGCUAACUACGUGCCAGCAGCCGCGGUAAUACGUAGGCAGCGAGCGUUGUUCGGAGUUACUGGGCGUAAAGGGUGUGUAGGCGGUCUUCUAAGUCUGGUGUGAAUCUCCCGGCUCAACUGGGAGGGUGCGCCGGAAACUGGAAGGCUAGAGUGCGGGAUGGGAGAGUGGAAUUCCUGGUGUAGCGGUGAAAUGCGUAGAUAUCAGGAGGAACACCUGUGGUGUAGACGGCUCUCUGGACCGCAACUGACGCUGAGACACGAAAGCGUGGGUAGCAAACAGGAUUAGAUACCCUAGUAGUCC